GCAGCAGCCGCGGGAAUACGGAGGGUGCAAGCGUUAAUCGGAAUUACUGGGCGUAAAGCGUGCGUAGGCGGUUCGUUAAGUCUGUUGUGAAAGCCCCGGGCUCAACCUGGGAAUGGCAAUGGAUACUGGCGAGCUAGAGUGUGUCAGAGGAUGGUGGAAUUCCCGGUGUAGCGGUGAAAUGCGUAGAGAUCGGGAGGAACAUCAGUGGCGAAGGCGGCCAUCUGGGACAACACUGACGCUGAGGCACGAAAGCGUGGGGAGCAAACAGGAUUAGAUACCCCAGUAGUCCCUGUCUCUUAUAC
rnacentral:rRNA from 1 species